AAUGAUGGCAGGAAUGAAAAGUUCUGUAGGAUUAAGUGGCUCCAAAGUUCUGAAAGACUCUGACUUAGAGUGGUGCUCACUCUGGCCAAAGAAAAUCACCAAUGAACGCUACAGUCUGCAGCCCAGCCCAGUCAGCAGGCUUGGUCAGGGUUCCAGAAUAAAUGCCUGGGCAAAGUAGUCUGUGGCUCUGUUGGGCUAGGCCCAGCAUGACUGGAAGGAGAGAGGUGAAGUGGGAUCACAGGCCCGAUGGAAGCCUAUGGGAAGUGAAAAGUUCCACUGAGUCUCGUGGAUACACAGCUAUGGGGAGACAUCUAGACAGAUAUUCCCAUAAGGAUUCUGGCAGGCCACAUCAUCGCGAGCCAGGGAAUCUCACUUCCCUGUGGAGUCCAGUUCUCAUCCAAAAUAAAAGAGGUAAUACACCUACUGACCAAAAAUGAACUCGAAUCCUGACUCAUGGGGCAUCUCUGGACACUGUCUUCUGGUGGAAAACUCAUCUACUGGCCCUUGAUUGCACUGGCAUUUGUCAUUAUCCUUGUUUACAGUCUUUGAGCCGGUUUUCAAUCCAUGCAACAGUAUUUCUGUCCAAAUCCAUUUGUACAACUUUUUCAGUUCGGAUUUCACAAGGCAUUGGAUCAAAUGUACUACGGAAGGUCCAGGUAUAUGACAUUUACACAUUCCCUUCCUCAGUCAUUUUGUAAUUAGAUUCUUUUAAAAGUAGGGGUGGCAUGAGUGAGGGGAGAUCAAGUUUCACUGGCGCAACCUGCCUGUGCUGUCGCACCACCUGGCGAAAACUCCUGUGUGGAAGUAUCGCCGCCGGCACAAGUUGAAUACCCACGGUAAGCUGGAGGGGUUUUUAAUGGAACUGAAAUAUCAGCUGCUUCUCACAUUCCUCACGGCAUAUUGUCCAACGAAGCAGCCCCUUUUUCAUCAGCUCUAGCCAGGAAUCGUUGAGUCAUUUUAGAUCCACUUUUAUCCUUUGAUCAACGUUUGAUCUAUGGGAUGAAGCCAAAUUGUGAGUCCAUCAGCUUCCCUCACUUGUGCUGUUUCCCUCUCUCUUUUAUGCACUCAGUUAUUAACACUCACUUCUAACCGAACUCAUUUCUAACCAGCUGUACCUCUGUAAAGCUUUAUUCUUUGGCUUAAGCUAGUCACUUAGCUGUUGCAGGCUGUUUUAGUCAGCUGGUCAAGUUGACCCUGGUACCGUGGGCACAGUCCUUAUUACUCAGGCACUUCAUGUUCUUAAAUGAAGUCGCCCUAAAGCGUUGGCUUAUAUUGUCUCUCAUCUUCAGUGGGCUGAGAGCAAACACAGCUAUCUGGAUUUCAUUGCAUUUUUUUUUUUCUUUCUUAAGUCUGGAGACAUUUAAUCCCCAAUAAAAAAAAAGUCAGCAGAGCUUGUGUGGUUGAG
rnacentral:lncRNA from 1 species